AGAGCGAACGCUGGCGGCAGGCCUAAUACAUGCAAGUCGAACGAAUCCUUCGGGAUUAGUGGCGGACGGGUGAGUAACACGUGGGAACGUGCCCUUUGGUUCGGAACAACUCAGGGAAACUUGAGCUAAUACCGAAUGUGCCCUUCGGGGGAAAGAUUUAUCGCCAUUGGAGCGGCCCGCGUCUGAUUAGCUAGUUGGUGAGGUAAAGGCUCACCAAGGCUACGAUCAGUAGCUGGUCUGAGAGGAUGAUCAGCCACACUGGGACUGAGACACGGCCCAGACUCCUACGGGAGGCAGCAGUAGGGAAUCUUGCGCAAUGGGCGAAAGCCUGACGCAGCCAUGCCGCGUGAAUGAUGAAGGUCUUAGGAUUGUAAAAUUCUUUCAGCGGGACGAUAAUGACGGUACCCGCAGAAGAAGCCCGGCUAACUUCGUGCCAGCAGCCGC
rnacentral:rRNA from 1 species